UCCUCGCUACCAACAUGCCAUGGCAUGUUUUAUUCACAAUAAAGUCAGACAGAUCUCCCCUCACCACUGCCCAGAUCUGCGAGCCACCCGCCGGCCUCAAAGACAUCAGCAUCAGCUUAGUGUGUCUGCUCUCUCAGUCUCCUUGACCUGCACAUCCCUGCAGAGGAGAGCGACCCCAGUUUUUAAUGGAAGUACAGAGCUGGAGUCAAAGAACACCAAUGUUUACCUGAAACAAAUGUUUACCUAGACCGUUGUCCUGAAGGUGAGACGUUCUCCAAACCAAACUGUUAUUGAAAUCAAGAAACAGACAGAAGGUGCCAGAAGCUUCAUGAUGCAGGUGGAUAAGAUCACACCUUCACCCUUUUUAUUAGAGGCACUCACUGAUCCGUGGGCUCCGCUCCCCUCUUGGGGGAAGAUGUUUGUCAAAGACAGAUCCCCUCAAGAGCUCUGCUGGAUUUAGGGGUUUCCUCUGCUGUUCAUGGGGCACAUUUCCCAGAAUUACACUCAUUCAUGAUGAGUGAAAGCAUCCAGAGGAAAAAAGAUGUGCCUCUCGCCUCCAUUCAGCAGCCCAGGCCCCUAAUCUCUGCAGGGACAGCGCACAAUGAGAAAGGAGGGCCAGCACUCACAUCAAGAACCGGACUCUGUAAUAAAGGGACGAUGACAAUAGAUAACAUUUCGUGGUAUAUCAUGGACUGCCUCAUCUGUGUGUGCAGCUAGAAACUUUUAAAACACUUCAAAUACCUCAGAUGCUUUUUGCCCACAUUCCUUUGUCACACAGCGGUAAUUGCUGUGUCAUUAUAAUGACCACAUGUGUCACUGUUUGCAGAUUUAUGAGUCUAGUUUUCAGCACAAACUAUACUAAUGACAGCAUACAAUCGUAUAUGUUUUGCCAGUAAGUGAUGCUAUUUACACAAUAUUGUAGCACAUAAAGAUCAGAAAUUUCAUAAUAAUUUCCUACAGAGUUUCCUGGAAAGAACUAUGUAAUUUGGUACUAAUUAUUGGAAAAAUAGGGUUUUCUUUGAAAGAUUAACUCCACACAAGUUAAUAUUCAUUCUUUAUUUAUUAUUGUAAACUUUAUUCUUCAUUUGUGUUGCAUUGCAUGCACACCUGUAUACAAAUUUCACAUUUUUCAGCAGCUGACCUGCUGUGCACUAAUUAGAAGACUUUUUUGGUUAUACUAGCAAUUACUGUGGUUGGAAUUAAAUAAUUGGAAGUUGACUAAUUGGACACUGUCUCUAUUUUCCUUGUAAUUAUUACCAAUUUACAUAGCUUGUUUCCACGAAACUUUGAGGAAAUUAUUAGGAACUUACAACUCAUUAAAUACAUUAAAUAAACAUUUUUUUCCAUUUAAUCAUUCAGUUUAUCAGAAGUCAUAUAUAUUAUGUUAUUCAAAAAACGCAAAUCUUGCGCACUAUAUAGAGAUUAAAUAAUAUUGAUAAAUGAUCUGUACAGAUGUGUAAAAUGUAUAUUCAUAAUGAAUUGCUUGCUGUUGCAGUCUUAGUAGUUCUGUACAUCAAUUGGUUAUCAUCAACAACAGUUCUACAUACCUGGAUGUUUUGAUUUUAAUAUAAAUAUAUGCUUUGCACUA